UUCAGGUUGAUCCUGCCGGACCUGACUGCUAUCUGAUUGGUACUAAGCCAUGCGAGUCGUUGUAGCAAUACAAGGCGGACUGCUCAGUAACACGUAGUUAACUUAACCUAUGGAUGGGGAUAACCUCGGGAAACUGAGAAUAAUACCCAAUGGACCACAGUGCCUGGAAUGGCCUGUGGUUGAAAUGAUUUAUCGCCGUAGGAUAGGACUGCGGCCUAUCAGCUUGUUGGUGAGGUAAUGGCCCACCAAGGCUAUAACAGGUACGGGCUCUGAGAGGAGGGGCCCGGAGAUGGGUACUGAGACACGGACCCAGGCCCUAUGGGGCGCAGCAGGCGAGAAACCUUUGCAAUGUGCGAAAGCACGACAAGGUUAAUCCGAGUGUCUCCUGCUAAAGGAGUCUUUUGUCAGUUGUAGAAUCACUGGUGAAUAAGGGGUGGGCAAGUUCUGGUGUCAGCCGCCGCGGUAAAACCAGCACCUCGAGUGGUCAGGAGGUUUAUUGGGCCUAAAGCAUCCGUAGCCGGUUGCAUAAGUUUUCGGUUAAAUCUAUGCGCUUAACGUAUAGGCCGCCGAAACUACUGUGCAGCUAGGGAGUGGGAGAGGUACCCGGUA
rnacentral:rRNA from 1 species